rnacentral:rRNA from 1 species
AUACGUAGGGGGCGAGCGUUGUCCGGAAUGAUUGGGCGUAAAGGGCGCGUAGGCGGCGCGGUAAGUCUGGAGUGAAAGUCCUGCUUUCAAGGUGGGAAUUGCUUUGGAUACUGCCGCGCUUGAGUGCAGGAGAGGUUAUCGGAAUUCCCGGUGUAGCGGUGAAAUGCGUAGAGAUCGGGAGGAACACCAGUGGCGAAGGCGGGUAACUGGACUGCAACUGACGCUGAGGCGCGAAAGUGUGGGGAGCAAACAGGAUUAGAUACCCUGGGAGUCCACACUGUAAACGAUGAAUGCUAGGUGUAGGGGGUAUCGACCCCUUCUGUGCCGCAGUCAACACAAUAAGCAUUCCGCCUGGGGAGUACGGCCGCAAGGUUGAAACUCAAAUGAAUUGACGGGG